rnacentral:tRNA from 1 species
GCGUGAUUAACUCAGCGGUUUAGAGUGCUACCUUGACAGGGUAGAAGUCGGUGGUUCGAAUCCACCAUCGCGCA